UCAAACCAUAUUCAGUGAACCAAUUAUAGAAAGUUGUCCACCUUUUCCCGUGAUUCUUUUUCCGUGAUGUACUACUACUGCAGUUGAGUUCUAUAGGCCUCCAACCUUCUUCUAACUGUAUAGCAAUGGCUGCCAUUUCAGUUCCUCUCCUCACCCUUCGAUCACCUCAAGCCAACCGCCCUUUCCCUUCAUUCUUUAAUCUCAACCGUCCCUUUUCAACUUCACUCUCCUCCAAUUGCAGCUUCAACCAUUUAACAGUCUCAAAUAAUAGUAGUACUUCUUCUAACCAAGCCAUCACUGAAACAACAACCUCUGACUACUCUACCAUCAAUGUCCAAAACGACGACGCUUUAGACACCACCCUUUUCGUUAUUCGGGCCAAGAACCGAAUUGGCCUUCUCCAAAUCAUCACCCGCGUAUUCAAAGUCCUCGGGCUCACCAUUCAAAAGGCCAUUGUUGAAUUCGAAGGCGAGUUUUUCGUGAACAAGUUUUUCGUCAGUGAUUCUAACGGUAUGAAGAUUGAGAAAACGGAACAUUUGGAAAAGAUUCAGAAGGCAUUGAAGGAAGCUAUUGAUACUGGCGGAGUAUCGCCGUCUGUGGCGGUGGUUAGUGGGAGAGGAGUGGUUGUGAGGAAAGCUGGGUUGAACUUAGGAGAGAGGAAAGCGAAAGCAGAGAAGAUGUUUGGGUUAAUGGAUGGGUUCUUGAAAAAUGAUGCAGUUAGUUUACAAAAAGAUAUUCUUGAUCAUGUUGAAUUUACUGUUGCUCGAUCAAGAUUCAAUUUUGAUGAUUUUGAAGCUUACCAGGCAUUAGCGCAUAGUGUCAGGGAUCGGCUUAUUGAACGAUGGCAUGAUACUCACCAGUAUUUUAAGAAGAAAGACCCCAAGCGACUGUACUUCCUUUCGCUUGAGUUUCUUAUGGGUCGUUCUCUAACUAACAGUGUCAUAAACCUUGGCAUCCAGGACCAAUAUGCCGAUGCAUUAAGUCAGCUUGGAUUUGACUAUGAAGUCUUGGCAGAGCAGGAAGGAGAUGCUGCCCUUGGUAAUGGUGGCCUAGCUCGCCUUGCAGCUUGCCAAAUGGAUUCCCUAGCGACAUUGGACUACCCAGCUUGGGGUUAUGGACUACGCUAUCAAUAUGGAUUAUUUCGUCAGAUCAUAGUGGAUGGUUUUCAACAUGAACAACCUGAUUUUUGGUUGAACUUUGGGAACCCCUGGGAGAUUGAACGUGUUCAUGUGUCUUAUCCAGUAAAGUUCUAUGGGACUGUUGAAGAGGAAGUUUUAAAUGGAAAAACAUGUAGAGUUUGGAUACCUGCAGAAUCAGUAAGUGCUCCUGUAUUUAAUUAGUCAUUUUUUUCUACAAAUUUAGACUAAUUGCAUGUAAUGUUGCCGAAUGACUAGCGUGUUCGUUUACUUUUAGGUCGAAGCAGUGGCUUAUGAUAAUCCAAUACCUGGUUAUGGAACGCGAAAUGCCAUCAACCUACGACUUUGGGCUGCUAAACCAAGUGAUCAAUAUGAUUAUGAGUCUUACACCACUGGAGACUAUAUUAAUGCUAUUGUUAACAGACAGAAGGCUGAAACCAUAAGUAAUGUGCUGUAUCCUGAUGACCGUUCUUACCAGGGUAAGGAACUGCGGUUGAAGCAACAGUAUUUCUUUGUUUCAGCAUCACUACAAGACAUAAUAAGGAGGUUUAAGGAUUUACAUAAUAACUUUGAUGAGUUUCCAGAGAAGGUUGCUCUUCAGAUAAAUGAUACACAUCCGUCAAUUGCCAUUGCUGAGGUAAUGAGAGUGCUUGUUGAUGAAGAGCACUUGGAUUGGAGCAAAGCAUGGGGUAUUGCUUGCAAGAUUUUCUCAGUCACCAUUCACGCGGUACAACCUGAAGCACUUGAGAAAGUUCCCAUAGAUCUCCUGGGUAGCGUUCUUCCUCGGCAUUUAGAGAUUAUAUAUGAGAUAAACUAUUGUCUCAUGGAGGAGUUAAAAAAGAUACUUGGUCAGGACUAUGAUAAACUUUCCCGAAUGUCAAUUAUUGAGGAAGGUGCUGUGAAGUGUAUUAGGAUGGCAAACCUGUCACUUGCAUGUUGCCACACUGUGAAUGGCGUUUCCAGGCUGCAUCUUGAGACGCUUAAAACAAGAGUGUUCAAGGACUUUUAUGAGCUGUGGCCUCAGAAAUUUCAGUUCAAGACUAAUGGAGUAACUCAGGUGCAUAAUUGUGACUGCUAGUUGUGAUUCGAUUUUUUCAAUUUCAAGAUUGCUGCCUCAGGCUUUGACUUGACAGUUAUUCUUCAAAACUUCCUGACAUUGUUCAAAAACUUCUGAUUCCUUUACUGCCUUUUGUAGAUAGUGUAUGUGAGAAAGCACAGGAGAAAUUAUAUUAUUGAUGUAUUAACAUAUGUUAC